rnacentral:rRNA from 1 species
UGUGAGAAGGGAAUCCCAAGUGCUUAUGCAUUAGUAUAGGCUUUUGCCAAAAGUAAAUAUUUUGGCGAAUAAGUGGUGGGAAAGACUGGUGCCAGCCGCCGCGGUAACACCAGCGCCACAAGUGGGAAUCAGCAUUACUGGGCCUAAAGCGUCCGUAGCCGGUUUGAAAAAUCUUUUGUGCAAUUGCAGAGCUUAACUCUGCAGCGUGCAGAAGACACUAUCAAACUUGGGACUGGGAGGGGUUAGGAGUAUUCUUAGGGGAGCGGUAAAAUGUUAUAAUCCUAAGAAGACUACCUGUGGCGAAGGCGCCUAACCAGAACAGAUCCGACGGUGAGGGACGAAAGCUAGGGGAGCAAAACGGAUUAGAUACCCGAGUAGUCCUAGCUGUAAACGCUGCGAGCAAGGUGUUGCGUAUUCUACGUGAAUAUGCAGUAUCGAAGAGAAGUCGUUAAGCUCGCCGCCUGGGAAGUACGGUC